AACUUCUGAAUGUUGACCUCGAUCAGGUAGGA
rnacentral:rRNA from 1 species